UUCCGGUUGAUCCUGCCGGACCUGACUGCUAUCGGAUUGAUACUAAGCCAUGCUAGUUUUUGUAGUAAUACAAGGCAUACGGCUCAGUAACGCGUAGUCAACCUACCCUAUGGACGGGGAUAAUCUCGGGAAACUGAGCAUAAUACCCGGUAGACCAUAAUCUCCUGGAAUGGUUAGUGGUUAAAAUGAUUCGUCGCCAUAGGAUGGGACUGCGGCCUAUCAGCUUGUUGGUGGGGUAAUGGCCCACCAAGGCGAUUACAGGUACGGGCUCUGAAAGGAAAAACCCGGAAAUGGGUACUGAAACAAGGACCCAGGCCCUAUGGGGCGCAACAGGGGAAAAAACUUUGCAAUGGGCGAAAGCACGACCAGGUUAAUCCGAAUGAUUUCUGCUAAAGGAAUCUUUUGUUAGUUCUAAAACCACUAGUGAAUAAGGGGUGGGCAAGUUCUGGUGUCAGCCGCCGCGGUAAAACCAGCACCUCAAGUGGUCAGGAUGAUUAUUGGGCCUAAAGCAUCCGUAGCCUGCUCUGUAAGUUUUCGGUUAAAUCUAUACUGCUCAACGUAUGGGCUGCCGAAAAUACUGUAUAGAUAGGGAGUGGGAGAGGUAGACGGUACUCGGUAGGAAGGGGUAAAAUCCUUUGAUCUAUCGAUGACCACCUGUGGCGAAGCGGUCUACCAGACACGUUCGACGGUGAGGGAUGAAAGCUGGGGAGCAAACCGGAUUAGAUACCCGGGUAGUCCCAGCUGUAAACGAUGCAGACUCGAUGAUGCAUUGGCAUAUAGCCAGUGCAGUGUCGCAGGAAGCCGUUAAGUCUGCGCCUGGCAGUACGUACGCAAGUAUGAACUUAAGGAUUGGCGGGGAGCACACAGGGGUGAGCUGCGGUUCAAUUGGAGUCACGCGAA
rnacentral:rRNA from 1 species